UUUUUAAGCUGUAGCAGUUCCGGGUUUAGGCUCCGGGUGGGUCUUUCUCUCGUGCCACGUUGUGCUGUCGCUCGGUAAUUGGUUGACCUUCAGUUCGUUCUGGAGAGCCGCUCAGGGCUUUCCCUUGGAUUGUGCUGGCGCUCCGUGAUUGGUUUACCUUCAGUUUGUUCCGCGCGCUGGCGAGAGGGCCGCCCCCUUCCAGGGACAUCCUAACAUUCCAACCUCUUAUUGGUGAUAAUGGGCGAUGGAUCUGAUCUGGCUGCUUCCUGCGGUGUAAGGGCGAGGCCAUAGUAUGUGGGGUCUGAGGUUGGAAUGCGGGAAUAGGGCCGGACCACCAUCUGAUGAAAUGCGACCUGGGAAACUUCAUGAAUUCGUUUCCGUAGGAAACGGAGAAAACAAGGAGCUGCCCAUUCUGAGAGGAAAUCGUGUAAAUGAAACAGGAACUUUGGCAUAAAGAACGAUAGCUCCACGAGGACUGGGAUCUUUGUGGUUUUGCUGUAUUCACCCCACAGCGAAUCCAGUGUGUGUGGCGGUGUGAUUCCUUUCUGCCACGCUAACUCGCUCUGCAGCAGUUUCCGUGGGUGAGGAAUCCAGCCCAGCCUGACUGAAUGCCUCUCUUCAGAGUCUCUCCCAAGUCUGCAAUCAAGGGGUCAGCCAGGAUGGCAGCCUUCUCAAGGCUCAACGAGGGGAUGAUCCAAUUCCAAGGAUGAAAUGGAUUCUAGAGAUGGCUGAUUGUAAUGGCUACACAACAAAAUGAAUGCACUUAGGUCAGAAAUAAUUGUCUCCUCUUGGAAGCCACUGAUGGGACAAAACUUUGACAUGGAUCUGCAGAGUGAAAGGAAUGAUUCAGAGGACUUUGGAAGUAAAAUGCAUCUGGGAAUCCACAACCUUUGUUUCAUUUAUUUAUUCAUUCAUUUGUAUACAUUUAUGUAUACUCUUUCAUCUAUUUAUCCAGCCUAUGUAUUAGUUUUCUACCACGACAGUAACCAAUAUCACAAAUUUAGUAUUUUAAUAUAACACACAUAUAGUACCUUACAAUUAUGUAGGUUAGGAGUACAGGUGAAAAUCAAAGUAUCAGCUGGCUAGGAUCUCCCAGCUCAUGUGGAAACUCAGAAAAGAAUCUUGUAAAUUUAUAAACCCAUUCAGGUUGUUGCCAGAAUCCAAUUCCUUACAGAUGUAGAGUGAGGUUUUCACUUUCUUUCUCACGGCCAGCUGGAGAUUUCCCUUAGCUCCUAGAUAUCUGUCUCUGAUCCUUGCUUAUGGCCUUCUACAUAUAGGAACCAACAACUGGGCUGUCAUCCUUCUCAUACUUGGAAUCUCUCCGACUUCCUGUUACCAGGAUAAUUCAGGAAAUGGUCCACACCAUCUUAGGGUUCAUAAUCUGCAUUAUAUCUGCAAAGUCCCUGUGAAUGUAACACAUUCACAUCCAACUUCUCUGGAGGACCAUUCUGCUUACCAAAGCCAACAGUAAUUAUUGUUGCUAUGGACCUUUUCUAUUUUCAAUAAAUUCUAUCUCAAUGAAUGGAGGAGGAGGGCUGCUCAGUAACCUUGUCGAAGCCCUGCCAAGAAGUGACCUCUUAGCCACAGGUUUCAUGAACAACCUCACAUUUUAGCCAUUAAAAAAACAAAACAAAACAAAAAACAAAACUCGUUUCCAACCCUGAACUAUGUUAGUAGUUUUCUACUGGUUAUUUAAAAAAUUAUCAAAGUGUAUUUUUUAGCUUAUAGAAUCAUAAAUAGCCGACAGAAAUUGCACACAAAUAUAUAAUAAGGAUAUGACUUGUAUAACUAAUUUAUUGCUAAAUCUUCUACCUUGUGGGGAAGUGGGGAUUCUCAUACACUGCUACUGAAAGGUAAAUUUCUGGAGUGUGAUUUGGCAACAUAUAGAAAAGCCCCCAAAUAUGUAUAGUCUUUAACACAUAGAUUGUCAUUCCAGGAAUUUCUCUGAAAGAAAUAACAAUAGAGGGGCACCUGGCUGUCUCAAUCAGUAGAAUGUGUGACUCUUGAUCUCAGGGUCUUGAGUUCAAGCCCCAUAUUGGGUGUAGAGAUUACUUAAAAGAUAAAAAAUCUUAAAAACAUAUAUUUAAAAAAAAGAAAUAACAGCAGCUAUGGAUAAAGCUUUCACUACAAAUAUAGUCAAAUGAACAUAUAUGAAUGUAAAGUAAAAAAAUAACGAUAUAUAUAUGAAAAUGGUUACAAAUUAUGCUUCUUCCAUACAAUGAAAUGAUGUCUUAUGACAAAACUCGUUGACAGGUUUGGAGAUCUGACUUCACAGGGAACCUGUGUCCCCAAAUCAGGCCAAACCUGGGAGAGCUAGAUAGGGCCCAAAUUUUUCCUUGCCCAAUAAACAAAAGAAGAAAUAUCUACAUGGUGAAUCUGGGCCAAGUUCUAGUAUAAAUCAAGAAGCAUAAUUUCCCUUAUCCCUGGUGGGACAUAGUUGUGGUGAAAGACCUUGGACCGUAACAGGUCUUGAAAACUCCAGAACAUCACAGGCAACCUGCCCAAGUUUCCUGAGGGAGAAGCCAGACCGGGAGAGACUUUGUCGUCAUGAUUCCUAUAAGGACCAACAAUUGAGAACCUGGCAGGGCUUGGAAUUUUUCUACCCAGCUAAGAAGGCAACAACCCCAAGAUCCCUCCAUGGAAAUGGCGCUGAGUGUAUGAUCCUGCAGACAUAUUGCCACCAAAGGAAUACCUGCCUGAGAAGGACCAGAAGGAGAAAGUGGAGCCCAAUACAGGAGGAGUGGGGACCUAACGAUAUACUUUCAGGUGUCUCUCAGGGUCUCAGGUUUCCUAAUUGAAAUGUGCCGAAGCAAUUGAAAUGUGGUACCUCAGUGAAUUACUGUCAGACCCCGUAACCUUUUGACCAGCUAGAAUCUUGUCGUGAGAGGAGACCGUGUACGUUGGUGAAAGUUUAGAAGAAAGAAUCCCCCUUAUUCAAUCAACUAACAAAGACCCAUGGAGUACCCCGGUGGGGGCCCCAAAGAAGAUGCAAAGAAGAAAAACACAAUCUUUGCCCUGAAGGAGUCGUCAUCUUUUGAGGAAACAAAACAUCAUGUCAUAGUUCUACUGUAGUGAGCUCAAGCUCUCAAACCCAAUAAAAUAUGGGAUAUUCACCUCCUGUCAAAA